ensembl:lncRNA
AAUAUACCUGGGGCACACACUUGACCUUUCUCUGCCUAAUGAGAUUCCAACACUUUGAGGAAAAUAAAUCUUUGGCAUUCCAAGAGAGUGAUCCUGAAGUGUAACCUCCAUCAUACCAUCUAGAUGAACCACUGUCCAAAAACGUUCUAAUAAAGGCAGAGAAUAAGGUUGUUCCAAGGACCAGUUGAAAAGCCCGAGGUUCCGUCAGUGGCCAGAACUGAAGCUCAUCAUGAUUUGGACACUGCAGCUGAAACCCCAGAGACUUAGGCACUGAGCAACAAUAAAGAUACUGUAUAAUCAACUAGGAUUACGGCAAGAAAACACAAAGUGCUUUUCAGAUCAUAAAAGAAAUGAUUAUCACGAGGAAAGGGAAGUGACUGUUGGAUUCAAAAGGCAAUCAGAGAAAAAUUUUAAAAAGUAAACAUAAAAUAUCACCCUCUAGCCCAGAAGAUGUUAAAAUCUCAAAGAAAAAUUUCCAAAGAAAAUAUAAUAAGCUCACAGAAGAAAAAGCAUUUACGCAAUCCAUUUUAGGCUGUACACUUUGCUAAAUGAUCUGCAAAAUUAGAAAAAGAAACUGAUUCAUUGUAGAGGUGCGUUAUCUGAAGAGUACGUAGUGUCCAGAAAUUUUGUUGUUUCUUUCGUCAGAAUCAAUGUGAGGUUUGCAUUAGUAAGGAUGGUGACGUUAUUAAAACAAAGAAGAAGAAAAAAAAAGCUAGAGAACUGGAUCAAGAUGAGAAGCAAAAGGGAGUGUCAACAAUGUUCAUUUCCCAGUGUGGAGAGAGCUUAUAGAAAUAUAAUAAAGUACCUUCAUUUUCCUUCAGCUAAUACAUAAAGUCAAAAAUCCUCAGUACUCCUGAAAAAAGAUUGUCUCUACAAAUGAUGCACUCUUUAAAUGCCAUUCAAUAGCUGUUGUUGAAGUUUGGCUCCUGAAAAAGCUGCAGCUAUAGUUUUCAUGUGGCAAAAACGUCACUCUGCACUUCAGUUAAUUGUGCAAUGCCUGGCCACUGUUUUGUUUCAUGGGCACAUGUGUCAAUGAUUUCAUUCUUUAACAGUGCUUCUUGUCCUUUUAUGUCUCAAAACACCUGAGGUAAGUUUCAUUCUCCCAUCAGUGACAGUGAUUCUCUACGGUAAUCAUGAGACCUUUUGUAGGAGGCCAUGUUAGGUGCUAGAACCUCUCAGCGGUGGGAAGUUGAGAAGCGACAUCAGAGUCAAAUAUCUUCCUCAGGAGAUUCUAGGACAACCCCCAGGGCUUGCAAACCCCUUUCUCUUUUGAGAAUCACUAAUCUUCCCUGGUUAUAAACUCCUUCCCUUUUUGCAAAUCACGGAUCUUUGAAUGAAGACAAAGAAUUUCUAUUUUUUCUUCAUGCCAGAACUUGGAUAUGUGGCAGGAUUGAUGAUCUAUUCUGGCUCCAGAUGGUUGCGUUCUCCUGAUGACAGAUGGAAGUCCAGGACAAGCGGCCCCAUCUACAUGAAAGAAGGAGAUAAAUGAUUGACAUAAGAAGGCCAGCAAGAUACAGGACCUCUUUAAAGCACACUUUUUACUUUUCUGAUUCUUCAGUAAAUCCUUGAAUUGUG